GACAGUGUGUUGCAGUGGUUUGAGCAUUGGACUAUGACUCCAGAGAUCAGGGUUUGAAUCCUGGCACGGCCA